ensembl:lncRNA
GUUGUAAGACUGUCUAUCUAAAUGAAUAAUUCUUAUAACGAUCCAUCAGUUAAAUCAUCAGUUGAAUCUGUACAGAUGUUCCAUGUUAUCAAUGAAGUAAUAUCUGAAGGUAAUCCAUUUUAUCUAUGCAACACACUGAAAUGAGAAUUGUAUCACUGUAUUUUCUGUUCUGUUUUUGUGUCCAUACCAUGUGAGCACUAUCCUGAGAUUCCAAGAUGGUCAGCGUCCGGUCGAUCCAGCCUCGAAUUCAAACAAGUGAUCAUCAUUCAAAAUCCUACAUCUCCCAUAAUUGCUCUUCUUUCUUGAGCUAGUAAGCUUCAUCCAGCCAAGUCAUAUUCUAAGCCAUCCAAACAAUAAUGGAUGCUUCCAAACAUCAUAGGAAGCAUCCACAAAGACUGCCUGCAUCCAUCAAUUUGUCUCCUGAUAUCACAAAUAAGUAAAUAGAACAACACAAAUUGUAAGUUGAGGUUUGUGCAUCAAAUCUCAAUAUCUACUGUCCACUACUCUCAAAAGAUUUCUGCAAUAUGCUACACUUCAAACUUCCCUCUCCAUUAUAUGAUUCUCCGCUCCAGAUCUGUUUUUAUAAAACGGCACAAAACCGAUAAGAAGGUUUGUGCAUCAAAACCCAAUAUCUACUGUCCAAUCUACUCUCAAAACAUUUCUGCAAUAUGCUACAUGUGAAACUUCCUUGUCCGAUAUUUCAUUCUCUAUGCCAUGAACUGUUUUUAUGAAGAGGCACAUAACCGAUAAAAAGGUUUGUGCAUCAAAACCCAAUAUCUACAGUCCACAACUAUCAAAAGAUUUCUGCAAUACGCUACACUUCAAACUUCCCUCUCCAUUAUAUGAUUCUAAGCUUCAUGAUCUGUUUCUAUGAAGCGGCACAAAACCGAUAAAAAGGUUUGUGCAUUAAAGCUCAAUCUCUAUGGUCCACUACUCUUAAAAGUUGAUUCUCUAUGCCAUGAACUUUUAUGAAGAGGCACACAACCAAUAAAAAGGUUUGUUCAUCAAAACUAAAUAUCUAUUGUCCCCUACUCUCAAAAGAUUUCUGCAAUACGCUACUUCAAACUUCCCUCUCCAUUAUAUGAUUCUCUACACCAUUUACUGUUUCCAUGAAGAGGCACACAACCGAUUAAAAAGGUUUGUGCAUCACUAUUAAAUAUCUACUGUCCACAACUAUCAAAAAGAUUUCUGCAAUAUGCUACACUUCAAACUUCCUUCUCCAUUAUAUGAUUCUCUGCUCCAUUAACUAUUUUUAUGAAGCAGCACAAAUCUGUUUAAGAAGGUUUGUGCAUCAAAACUCAAUAUCUACUGUCCACUACUCCCAGAAGAUUUCUGCAAUACACUACACUUCAAACUUCCUUCUCCAUUAUAUGAUUCUCCGCUCCAUGAAUUGUUUUUGAAGCAGCACAAAACCAAAAGAAAGGUUUGUGCAUCAAAACCCAAUAUCUACUGUCCACUACUAUCAAAAGAUUUCUGCAAUACGCUACAUGUGAAACUUCCUCCUUAUGCUUUAUUUGAUUCUCCACUCCAUGAACUGUUUUUAUGAAGCAGCACAAAACCAAUAAAAAGGUUUGUGCAUCAAAACUCAAUAUCUACUGUCCACUACUCCCAAAAGGUUUCUGCAAUGCGCUACACUUCAAACUUCCUUCUCCAUUAUGAUUCUCCAGUCCAUGAACUGUUUUUAUGAAGCACACAACCGAUAAAAAUAAAAGUGAAUACAAAACCAUUGUUCAAAUAUCUUCAGAAAAUGUCCCAGCAAAACUCUAAACUGAUGCAGGCAUUCAAUAGUCAAAGUUAUUAAACAAAUGAAUAACCGCAAAAGUAACACAAUUAUAUAUUAAAUAUUGGAUGGAUGGCUUGUAUUAUAUUAAAGGCUAUGUACAGCAAAUUUAGAUGCCAGCCAAAGGAGGAUGGCUUGCCCCUGCUGAGUCUGGUUCCUCCCAAGGUUUCUCCCUAUACCUCUCUGCUGAUGAUGCUUCUCUUCACUAAUUUAGGGAGUUUUUCCUUGCCACUGUUGCCUUCUGGCUUGCUCACUGGGGUAUUAAGGCACAAUAUUUUCAAUGUAUACUGUGUAAAGUGUUUGUAAAGAAUAAUAAAUACAUGAUGAUUUAGAAUAUA